GGGGUCGUAGCACAGAGGUAGUGCGCCGUGCCAUCUCGGAGGACGUCGGUUCGAAUCCGGUCGCCCCG
rnacentral:tRNA from 1 species